GAUGAACGCUGGCGGCGUGCCUAACACAUGCAAGUCGAGCGAAAGGACGAGAAGAUUGUGUUUUUGAGGUUAGCGGAGGGCGGGCGAGUAACGCGUGGAUCACCCACUUAUAUGUCGGGGAGAAUAUCGGGAAGCAGGAUAUAAUAAUAGCGAAUAUUUUGUACCGCAGGGUGCAGAAGAAAAAGGCGGCCUUGGUGGAUGUAAUAGCUGGAUCCGGGCUGCAUGGGUGGGUUGGUAAGGUAACGGCCUACCAAGGCAACGUUGCGUAGCCGAGCUGAGGGGCUGAUCGGCCACACUGGAACGGAGACACGGUCCAGACUCCUACGGGAGGCAGCAGUAGGGAAUCUUCCGCAAUGGGCGAAAGCCUGACGCAGCAACGCCGCGUGAGUGACGAAGGUCUUCGGAUCGUAAAGCUCUGUUAUUGGGGAAGAACAUCUGUGGAAUUAACUGUGCCCAUCUUGACGGUACCUAAUCAAAAAGCCCCGGCUAACUACGUG
rnacentral:rRNA from 1 species